CCUACGGGCGGCUGCAGUCGAGAAUCAUUCACAAUGGGGGAAACCCUGAUGGUGCGACGCCGCGUGGGGGAAUGAAGGUCUUCGGAUUGUAAACCCCUGUCAUGUGGGAGCAAAUUAAAAAGAUAGUACCACAAGAGGAAGAGACGGCUAACUCUGUGCCAGCAGCCGCGGUAAUACAGAGGUCUCAAGCGUUGUUCGGAAUCACUGGGCGUAAGGCGUGCGUAGGCUGUUUCGUAAGUCGUGUGUGAAAGGCGCGGGCUCAACCCGCGGACGGCACAUGAUACUGCGAGACUAGAGUAAUGGAGGGGGAACCGGAAUUCUCGGUGUAGCAGUGAAAUGCGUAGAUAUCGAGAGGAACACUCGUGGCGAAGGCGGGUUCCUGGACAUUAACUGACGCUGAGGCACGAAGGCCAGGGGAGCGAAAGGGAUUAGAUACCCGGGUAGUC
rnacentral:rRNA from 1 species